rnacentral:rRNA from 1 species
GAUGAACGCUGGCGGCGUGCCUAAUACAUGCAAGUCGAACGCACAGCGAAAGGUGCUUGCACCUUUCAAGUGAGUGGCGAACGGGUGAGUAACACGUGGACAACCUGCCUCAAGGCUGGGGAUAACAUUUGGAAACAGAUGCUAAUACCGAAUAAAACUCAGUGUCGCAUGACACAAAGUUAAAAGGCGCUUUGGCGUCACCUAGAGGUUGAUCCGCGGUGCAUUAGUUAGUUGGUGGGGUAAAGGCCUACCAAGACAAUGAUGCAUAGCCGAGUUGAGAGACUGAUCGGCCACAUUGGGACUGAGACACGGCCCAAACUCCUACGGGAGGCUGCAGUAGGGAAUCUUCCACAAUGGGCGAAAGCCUGAUGGAGCAACGCCGCGUGUGUGAUGAAGGCUUUCGGGUCGUGAAGCACUGUUGUAUGGGAAGAACAGCUAGAAUAGGGAAUGAUUUUAGUUUGACGGUACCAUACCAGAAAGGGACGGCUAAAUACGUGCCAGCAGCCGCGGUAAUAC